rnacentral:lncRNA from 10 species
CAACUCCAUAACACAUAUACAGUUCACCCAUUUAAAGUGUAUGGUUUAUUGCUUUUUUUAGUAUUUUUCACAGCAUUGUGUAAUCAUCACCACGAUCAGUUUUAGUGCAUUAUUCUUACCCUAAAAAGAAACUACAUACCCAUUAGCAAUCACUCCCCAUUCAUUGCACUACACUUCCCAACACUAGGCAACCACUAAUCUACUUUCUGUUUCUAGGUAUUUGCUUGUUCUGAACACUUCAUAUGGAAUCAUGUAUGUGGUCUUGUGACUGGCUUUAUUCAGUUAGCCUAAUGUUUUCAAAGUUCAUCUAUGCUGUAGAUGUAUCAGUAUUUUAUUCCAUUUUAUGGCCGAAUAACAACAACAUUGUAUGGAUAUACCAUGCUUUGUUUAUUCAUUCACUAGCUGGUAGACUUUUGGAUUGUUUCCACAGUUUGGCUAUUAUAAGUGAUGCUGCUGUGAACAUUGAUGUACACGUGUUUGUAUCCAUAUGUUUUCAUUUCUCUAGGUUAUAUACGUAGGAGUAGAAUUGAUGGGUCAUAUAUAAUUCCAUGUUUAACAUUUUGAGGAACUGCCAGGCUUUUCCAAAGUGGCUGUUUACCGUUGUAAAUUACCCCCUG